rnacentral:lncRNA from 1 species
AUUCUGAGCCUUUUUAUCUUUAAUAAAGAUUUAUUAAAUGUGACAAAGUUCCAGGAAAACAUUGUAAUAUUUUCUUAUUACGAUAAGUACGUAGCUAAUGUUUUAUAAAUAAUUCUACAAAAUAAUUACGGUCUGUUUUGGUAUUAGUACUGGCAACUCAUUACCUUUUUGUUUUGUUUUUGUUUUAAUCAUUAAUUUAUUAUAGUAAGGAUUCUGCUAACUUUUUAACAAUAUUGAUUUGUAUGGGAUGAAGUACUUGGUUUUGGCACCAUUUGUGGGUCACAGCAUAUACACAUACUUUAUGAGCAAAGAUGAAAGCCAGAGGGACAUUGUAUACAUAAUCAUACUCCCACUUCUACUGUCGAGAGUGAUUCACAACCAGAUAUGGAUAUCUCUAUCUCGUUACAGGACUGCCAAGGGUAAUAAUCGAAUUGUUGAUAAAAGCAUAGAAUUUGAUCAAGUUGACAGAGAAAGCAACUGG